GUUUUGCUCAUUUAAGGAGAUAUUAUACAACACAUUAAAUGCAGUGAGGAUAUCUGUCAAAAUCUAAGGUCCUCCAUCUCUGCCAUUAUCUAUCUUCCAUUAUAGGUUGACACUAAUUGCAAAAAUGAUAUAAUCUUCAAAAACUAUAUGAGCGUUAAAAUUAAUGGAUAGGAUAAAAUCUUAAGUAUUCUCACUGAAUAAAAGCUUAGAGAGAAUGGGCCAUGGGCUGACACAGAAAGCUUGGAUGUGGAUUAUAUCAAAAAUUGCAUCUAAUACAGAAAACAACAGAGAACCAAAAGGGAAUGUAAAGAAAACAUGACUGGUGCUUGUGGAGUAAAUUUCAGAGAAAUUACUGAUGAAGAUGAGUGGACAGAAAACACAUUUGGAGUCCUUUGGCUCUAAAAAUGACCAACAGCACAAAAGCAAAUAAAACAGCACAACAACAGAGCACAAAAAAAAACCAAAAAACCAAAAACAACCUAAGAAGUUAGAUAUUUUGACUGGAACCUGCCACCCUUUGCACUAGCAAACUAAUCAUAGCUUUGUGAUAUUCUUCCAGGUCUGUUUCUGGUAAAGGCGUUGUAAUGUAAUAGACUUUCAUCUGCACCAGAUGGUACAAGUCCCUGAUGAAUCAUAUGCCAGCUGCAGCCAGAAUGCAACACGCUCCAACUACGCGGCCUCUUUCACUGUGCAGCCAGCACAGCACUCAGAGCCACAGAACAUGUGUCGGAGGCUCUCUAUGUAGUUGUCCAUAGUUACCCAGGAGCACCAGAAAGAUUUCCAGCCACCUUGUGCCACCCCGUGUAAGAAAUGGGAAAUUGCACAGCUCUGCUCACCAUGGUGACCUGGGUAGUGGUCCUGCAGAUGGCAAUGGGUGCAACGUGAAGGCAGUUCUGAGUUUAUCAGCAACCAAAUGGUCUGAUGGAGGAUAAGGAAGGUUGCCACACACCCCCUCCAUCAUAAGUCCAGCUGUUCACAAACACUGCACCAGCAGACGGAGAUCCCUAUCCACUCAAUCCUAAAUAGCUCAGCAUAUCAAAUACCUGUACACAGAUUGUACAGAACUCCUGUAAUCAGAUCUGCACUAUUAAAAACCGGGAUCCUACGGGCAUGAGGUGUCUGUUCCAAGGUGCGUACAGCAGUAAUGGUAAGUUUGGUGUGCAGCCAGGAAAAUGCCAUGUCCUGAAGCACUGAAUAGUGCUGUUUCAUCACCUUCUGUGGCUGUUACCUCCACAAACAAAUAAAUGGUGACAAUGGAGGUGGGAGAAUAAAAUACUGUUUUCCUUUUGCUGUUCCCACUUCCUGUUUUAUUGUGUUUCUCAUGCCAGCAGCCUCAUACUUCUUUAUAUUUAAGCUGGCUCCUGCUUUGUGUUUAUUACCUGAUAAGCCGAUUUUGCAGUAACGCCUACAGGCUGUUUGCUGUGAAUUAUACUAAUUCCUUAUAAAUAUUCUAAUAAAUUUACCUUAAUUGCUUUAUUUCCC